rnacentral:lncRNA from 1 species
CCAGGUGAGCAUCUUACAGCCUGGAGCAGCGCCCACACCCCCAGGUGAGCAUCUGACAGCCUGGAGCAGCACCCACACUCCCAGGUGAGUAUCUGACAGCCUGGAGUAGCACCCACACCCCCAGGUGAGCAUCUGACAGCCUGGAACAGCAUCCACUCCCCCAGGUGAGCAUCUGACCACAUUGAAUGGCAUCCUCACCUCCAGGUGAGCAUCUGACAGCCUGGAACGGCACCCACACCCCCAGGCGAGCAUCUGACAGCCUGGAGCAGCACCCACACCCCCAGGUGAGCAUCUGACAGCCUGGAGCAGCACCCACACCCCCAGGGGAGCAUCUGACCGCAUGGAAUGUCAUCCUCACUUCCAGGUGAGCAUCCGACAGCCUGGAGCAGCACCCACACCCCCAGGUGAGCAUCUGACCGCAUGGAAUGGCAUCCUCACCUCCAGGUGAGAAUCUGACGCAUAAAACAGCACCCUGCAACCCCAGGUGAGCAUCUGACAGUCUGGAACAGCAUCCACACCCCCAGGCGAGCAUCUGACUGUAUGGAAUGACAUCCUCACAUCCAGGUGAGAAUAUGACAGAAUAAAGCAGCACCCUGCACCCCCAGUUGAGCAUCUGACAGCCUGGAACAGCACCCACACUCCCAGGUGAGCAUCUGACAGCCUGGAGCAGUACCCACACCCCCAGGUGUGCAUCUGACAGCCUGAAACAGCACCCUCCACCACCAGAUGAGCAUCUGACAACCAGAACCUGCACCACACACCCCAAGGUGGGCAUCCGAUGGCAUGGGACAGCACCCCCACUCACAGGUGAUGUGACUGCGUGGAACAGCACAUCCCCUCAGGUGAGCAUCUGACAGGAUAAAACAGCACCCCACAACCCCAGGUGAUCAUUUGCCAGCCAGGAACGGCAACCCACAUCCCCAGGUAAGUGUCUGACAGCCUAGAGCGGCACCUGCACACUUAGGUAAGAAUCUGAAAGCCUGGAUCAACACUCGAAUCUUCAGGUGAGCAUCUGACAGCCUGGAGCAGCAGUGCCCACCCCUGGGUGAGGAUGCUCACCUGAGGUUGGGAGUGCCAGUCCAGGCUGCCAGAUCCUCACCUGGGGAUGGAAGGUGCCAUUGUAGGUUUUUGGAUGUUCACAUGGGGGUUAAGGGUGGUGUUCCGGGUUAUCAGAUGCUCACCUGGGGACGCGUGGAAAACCAUGCCCACCACAAGGUGAGCAUAUGACAGCCCGGAACAACACCCUCCACCCCCAGGUGAGCAUCUGACAGCCUGGAACAGAACCCCACAACUUCAAAUAAGAAUUUGAUAAGUGGGAAAAAGCUCCCCGCCCUCAGGUGAGUGUCUGACAGCCUGGAACAGCACCCCACAACUGCAGGUGAGCAUCUGAUAGCCUGGAUAGGCACUCCACACAGCCAGGUGAGCAGCUGAAAGCCUGGAAUGGUAACCCACAUGCAGGUGAGCAUCCGACAGCCUGGAACAGCAGCUCACAUCCCCAGGUAAGAUUCCAACAGCAUGGAACAAGACCACUGCCCCCAGGUGAGCAUCUGGCAGCCUGGUAAAACAACCCCCUUCAGGUGAGCAUCCGACAGCCUGGAACAGCAGCUCACAUCCCCAGGUAAGAUUCCAACAGCAUGGAACAAGACCACUGCCCCCAGGUGAGCAUCUGGCAGCCUGGAAAAACAACCCCCUUCAGGUGAGCAUCUGACAGCCUGGAACAGCACCCUCCACCUUCAGGUGAGAAUAUGACAGCCUGAAACAGCACCCCACACCCCAGGCAAAAAUCUGACAGCAUGGAACAAGACCACUGCCCCCAGGUGAGCAUUUGACAGCCCGGGAAAGUACCCUCCAUGCACAGGUGAGCAUCUGACAGCCUGGAAACCCCCCCACUGCUUCCAGGUGAACAUCUGAUAGCCUGGAACAGAACCCCAGUUCUCCAAGUAAGGAUCUGAAAGCACGGAACAGCACUCUCACCCCCAGGGGAGCAUCUGACAACCUAGAACAGCACCCUCACCCCGAGGUGGGCAUCUGGCAGCAUAAAACAGCACCCCUACUGGCAGAUGAGCAUAUGACAGCGUGGAACAGCACCCACGCACCCAGGUGAGCAUCUGACAGCCUGGAACAGCACCCCACACCCCCAGGUGAGCAUCUGACAGCCUGGAACAGCACCCACACCCCCAGGUGAGCAUCUGACAGCCUGGAGCAGCACCCUACACCCCCAGGGGAGCAUCUGACAGUCUGGAGCAGCACCCACACCCCCAGGUGAGCAUCUGACAUCCUGGAACAGCACCCCACGCCCCCAGGUGAGCACCUGACAGCCUGGAACAGCACCCCACACCCCCAGGUGAGCAUCUGACAGCCUGGAACAGCACCCACACCCCCAGGUGAGCAUCUGACAGCCUGGAGCAGCACCCCACACCUCCAGGGGAGCAUCUGACAUCCUGGAACAGCACCCCACACCCCCAGUGAGCAUCUGACAACCUGGAGCAGCACCCCACACCUCCAGGGGAGCAUCUGACAUCCUGGAACAGCACCCCACACCUCCAGGGGGAGCAUCUGACAGCCUGGAGCAACACCCCACACCUCCAGGGGAGCAUCUGACAGCCUGGAACAGCACUCCACACCUCCAGGGGAGCAUCUGACAGCAUGGACAAGUCCUGCCCCCCGAACUCCAGCCCUUAAGAAAAUCAGAAGCCCUGGCAGGCACAUUGCCUCUGUGCUGUGCUUUUACCCAGCGAAGCAUCAGGGCAGACAGCCAAUUUCAACACUGCUCUUGGCUGGGAAGUGCCCUCAUCUCUGGCAGCCCCCACAGAGAAAGUGCAGGGCCCCGGGGCUGUGGCUGCCUCAGGGCAGGUCUCCCUUGUGACAGCCUCUUGUCAUGGGCCUGGGAGUGGACCCCUCCCAUCCCUGCCGUGCAUCCUGUUGAGUAGACAGCUCAGGCUAGUACCCAAGAGGGUGGCCAGCAGAUCACAGGGGAUGUCCCUUUUGUCUUAGCUGUUUAUGGGCUGGAGGAACCACUGUUCAGCCACAUCUCCUCUCCUGCCCCUCCUGCAUUCACCCGAGGUUGAUGGGAGCUCUGUGGGGGGAGACAGGCAGGGGAGGGGCCAGGCAACACCUGGGCAUAUCCCCAGGGUGCCUCCUCUGAUCCCCAGGAGGGGCAGCACCCACCCUCUUCUUUUUCCAAUUUGUUUUUAUUGUGGUUAAAUAUACAUAACGUAAAAUUUA